CUCGAUAAGGUUUUGAAAUGGUUUUUCUUCAAUUCGAACCUCAUUUUUAACUCGAUUUGAUUUGGGUUUUCAGCUGUAGGUUCCUGAAAGUCUGGGGAAUACAUUUUUGAAAUAAAGUUGUGAUUUUACCCUUAUUUUUAGAAAAUCCUUUUUGGGGUUUCCAUUUUGACACGAACCUAAAGUAGGCAAUAUGAGUAUUGUUGGCUUUAUUUUGAUGCGUAGAAUCUAUAUUUCAUGAUUUUAGUUGAUUUUGAGAUUGUUUGUGAGAACUACGGUCAUAGGUUAAAGUGUUGCGGACCGAUUUUAGGCCUUGAGGUAGGUUAUGGCUUAACUCUUUUUGACUGGAUUGCGUAUUUAAUGUGUAUACAAAAUACAUGUUAAGGGGAUGGGAACUAAUCGUGAAUUUAUCUAUUUUAAUGUGUUGUGCCCGUGUGGGAGCCUAUAUAUGAUGUAAUUAUUAGUUUUGAGCUAUUAUGUGAUAUGUGUGAACGUGUGGGAUCCUGUGUGAUGCUGAUAGCCUAAAAUACAUGUGAUUAAUUGUAUUUAAUUGGAAAUGCCUGUUGUGGUACCAUUGUCUUAUUGUGUUAUAUUCAAACUUUAUUGACAUAUGAAUCAUGUGGAAUUUCAUGGAUGGUGGAAAUAAUAAGUUGAUAUUGGCUCACGUGAUUGUAGAAAUAUAUCAUUGUGGAUGGUUGUGGAAAUACAUGAUGUGGUUGGUUAUGAAAAAACUCAUAGUGAUUGUUUGUGAACAUUACAUCCUUAUACCAUAUUCAUUCAGGAAAUGUUGGUACCACGGUGGCAACAUCUGAGAAACACUGGCAAUAUUUUUUUAAAACCCUUCCUGAGGGAUAUGUUGGAAAAGAAAUAUUAUGACAUCUUAUAAAACCCUCCUCGAGGGAUGUGCCAGGGAGGAGAUAUAAUAUAUGGAUUGUAUAUGAGUUGACGAACCCCCCAUAUAUCCUACGUUGGGAGCCUUGCCUCCAUAGGUGUAGACGGAGGUUAUGCGACAACCUCAUGAAUUAUCAUUAACAUUAUCAUCUUAUACAUUGCACUUACGUUAUCGUGUUUAUGUUGUAUUUGAAUUACCAUAUUGACUUAUCAUACCUUAUUUGUGCUAUCUUUCGUUAAUUGUACUUGACAAUCUUGUAUGUACAUGUUCUUUCUUGUACCUAAUUGUAUGUGAUGUAAUCUAUAUUAUUGUUCUACCUGGUUAUGUUGUUGCAAUUACAGGAUAUGUAUAUUAGAUCUAUUAGUGCAAGCGGUGUAGGCUACCAUGGUGAGACAUUUUGUGAUUGCAGUGUAGAUUCAGGUUCAAGUGCACCCCACAUUUCUUGACUCGGGCGAUUGUUGGAGCUUUUAUGGUAGUGGAUGAUAUUCAGGCGUUUGGAUGUUUUCUACUAUCUUUCUCUAAUAUUAGACUAUGUCAUUACUAGUUUUUAGAGACAAAUUUGUAUCUAUUUGAUUUUUUAUGUAUUUCUUUUGGAUUCAAGUUGAACUAGAUACAUUCUUAUACCACUGACAUCAAGUUAGGGAGUUAUGUCUAGAUUGUUGUUUAUUUAUGGUUUGGCUUUGCUCUAGAAGCCUUACCUUGGCGG